AUCGAUACUCUCCGUCUCUCUCUAGAAAAAAUCAGUGAAGACCUUGCUAUAAAAACUGUAAAGAAUCGGAAGAAUUUUCAAAAUCUAAAUCUAUUUUAUAUAAAUUUUGACUUCUCCCCCUUUAUCCCUGGUAAUCAGAAUUGACGGCAGAGGAUGGGGGUGAUGAGCCAAGCGUUGAUGCCGACGAUUUCAUUUACCUUAUGCACGGGUCAUAUCUCUUUUGUUAUAUUUAUUAUUUAACUGUUUGACAUGAACUGUUCAGGUCUUAUCAAAGGUAAAAGUGCAGUUUCUUGCUUUACUUCCGACACUUCGUCCUAACGGGAGGGUCAUUCUUGUAGAUGCAAGAGUCAAGACAAGUCAUCAAUCGAAAAAGGUUGAAUAAGGUAUACAUCCCAGACUCCAAUUUGUCUAAGUAUGUUCUUGAUGUUCAUCUUUUUGAGAAUUGAACCACUUUCUUUUUGCUUUCAAGAGGUGCAAGUUCAUGAAUUUUUUUUUUUUUUUGAAUAUAUACAAGCAUGACUAUUCUAUUUA